CCUACGGGAUGCAGCCGUGGGGAAUAUUGCACAAUGGGGGAAACCCUGAUGCAGCGACGCAGCGUGAGUGAAGACGUAUCUCGGUAUGUAAAGCUCUAUCUGCAGGGGAGAAAAUGACGGUACCUGUAUAAGAAGCCCCGGCUAAAUACGUGCCAGCAGCCGCGGUACUACGUAGGGGGCCAGCGUUAUCCGGAUUUACUGGGUGUAAAGGGAGCGUAGACGGCGCUGCAAGUCCGUAGUGAAAGCCCAUGGCUUAACCAUGGUACUGCUCUGGAAACUGUGGAGCUUGAGUACGGGAGGGGCAGGCGGAAUUCCUAGUGUAGCGGUGAAAUGCGUAGAUAUUAGGAGGAACACCGGCGGCGAAGGCGGCCUGCUGGACCGUAACUGACGUUGAGGCUCGAAAGCGUGGGGAGCAAACAGGAUUAGAUACCCGAGUAGUC
rnacentral:rRNA from 1 species